UUGAUCCUGGCUCAGAAUCAACGCUGGCGGCGUGCCUAACACAUGCAAGUCGAACGAGAAAGCUGGUAGCAAUACUGGUGAGUAAAGUGGCGACCGGGUUAGUAACACGUGGACAACCUACCUUUGAGUGGGGAAUAACCCUGGGAAACUGGGGCUAAUACCGCAUAACAUUCCAUGACGAUGGUUAAGGAAUUGAAACUCGAAAGGGGCUCGUAGAGGGAUCCGCGGCUGAUUAGCUAGUUGGUGAGGUAACGGCCCACCAAGGCUUUGAUCGGUAGCCGGCCUGAGAGGGCGGACGGUCACACUGGAACUGAAACACGGUCCAGACUCCUACGGGAGGCAGCAGUGGUGAAUUUUGCGCAAUGGGGGAAACCCUGACGCACCAACGCCGCAUGGAUGUUGAAGACCCUUGGGUUGUAAAAUCCUUUCGGCAGGGACGAAUUAAUUGAUGGUACCUGAAGAAGAAGCCCCGGCUAACUCCGUGCCAGCAGCCGCGGUAUUAAGGGCGU
rnacentral:rRNA from 1 species